UUGCCCCUCCCUGGAAGUACGCAACAACUAUGCAUGCACAAAUUAUUGUAAAUAUAUUUUAAUGUAUCGUUUCAUUGUAAAGGGGUUGAAUGUCAAUUGGGUCAAAAGGGAUUGAAUGUCAAAAGUUUGUCCCGUUUUCAUUCACUGCCACAAACUGUAACUACUGUUUGUUACAUGUUUUGUAUUGAAUCUGUGGUACAUCUAUUAAACUAAACUAUAAAAAAUAGGUGUAGGGUAAGAUCUCCUUAAACAUUCUGACCUAAAAAAGCUAUAUGUGCA